CGGGAAACUGGGGAUAAUACCGGAUAUAUGGAGAUGCCUGGAAUGGUACUCCACUUAAAGCUCCGGCGCCUAAGGAUGGAUCUGCGGCAGAUUAGGUCGUUGGUGGGGUAAUGGCCCACCAAGCCUAUAAUCUGUACGGGUUGUGAGAGCAAGAGCCCGGAGAUGGAACCUGAGACAAGGUUCCAGGCCCUAACGGGGGCAGCAGGGCGGAAACCUCCGGCAAUCGGACAAACGGCGACGGGGGGACCCCAAGUGCCACUCUUAACGGGGUGGCUUUUCUUAAGUGUAAAAAGCUUUUGGAAUAAGGGCUGGGCAAGACCGGUGCCAGCCGCCGCGGUAAUA
rnacentral:rRNA from 1 species